rnacentral:rRNA from 1 species
AUUGAACGCUGGCGGCAGGCCUAACACAUGCAAGUCGAGCGGAUGAAGGGAGCUUGCUCCUGGAUUCAGCGGCGGACGGGUGAGUAAUGCCUAGGAAUCUGCCUGGUAGUGGGGGAUAACGUCCGGAAACGGGCGCUAAUACCGCAUACGUCCUGAGGGAGAAAGUGGGGGAUCUUCGGACCUCACGCUAUCAGAUGAGCCUAGGUCGGAUUAGCUAGUUGGUGGGGUAAAGGCCUACCAAGGCGACGAUCCGUAACUGGUCUGAGAGGAUGAUCAGUCACACUGGAACUGAGACACGGUCCAGACUCCUACGGGAGGCCGCAGUGGGGAAUAUUGGACAAUGGGCGAAAGCCUGAUCCAGCCAUGCCGCGUGUGUGAAGAAGGUCUUCGGAUUGUAAAGCACUUUAAGUUGUGAGGAAGGGCAGUAAGUUAAUACCUUGCUGUUUUGACGUUACCAACAGAAUAAGCACCGGCUAACUUCGUG